rnacentral:rRNA from 1 species
GACGAACGCUGGCGGCGUGCUUAACACAUGCAAGUCGAGCGAUGAAGUUUCUUCGGAAAUGGAUUAGCGGCGAACGGGUGAGGAACACGUGAAGAAUCUGCCCUCCACUUUGGGAUAACACCGGGAAACCGGUGCUAAUACCGAAUAUUGAAACAUAAGUGGCAUCACUGAGUUUUGAAAGAAUUUCGGUGGAGGAUGACUUCGCGGCCUAUCAGCUAGUUGGUGAGGUAAUGGCUCACCAAGGCAACGAGGGGUAGCCGGCCUGAGAGGGCGACCGGCCACACUGGGACUGAGACAGGACCCAGACUCCUACGGGAGGCAACAGUGGGGAAUAUUGGGCAAUGGAGGAAACUCUGACCCAGCGACGCCGCGUGCGGGAUGAAGGCCUUCGGGUUGUAAACCGCUUUCAGUAGGGAAGAAGCGAAAGUGACGGUACCUACAAAAGAAGCACCGGCUAACUAUGUGCCAGCCGCCGCCGUAA